rnacentral:lncRNA from 1 species
UCGCCAAGUUCCAUGGCCUGAAAAUUAGAAUCUCAUCGAGCUGCUUCAGUCUAUAAGUCUAGGUGUACCACUUCAUCCACUCAAUAAGGAUCUUUUCAGUUGUGCGUAACUUCUCCUACAUUUUUCAGACCAAAGGGCAUUACUCUGUAACAAUAGAGUCCACCAUCAAUAACAAAAGCUAUUUUCUCCUCAUCCUCAAACAUCAUGCGAAAGUAACCAUGA